GACGAACGCUGGCGGCGUGCUUAACACAUGCAAGUCGAACGAUGAAGCGGGUGCUUGCACUCGUGGAUUAGUGGCGAACGGGCGAGUAACACGUGAGUAACCUGUCCUUUUCUUUGGGAUAACGGCUGGAAACGGCUGCUAAUACUGGAUAUUCAGGCUGCAUCGCAUGGUGUGGUUUGGAAAGGUUUUUUCUGAGAUUGGGUGGGCUCGCGGCCUAUCAGCUUGUUGGUGGGGUGAUGGCUUACCAAGGCUUUGACGGGUAGCCGGCCUGAGAGGGUGGUCGGUCGCACUGGGACUGAGAUACGGCCCAGACUCCUACGGGAGGCAGCAGUGGGGAAUAUUGCACAAUGGACGAAAGUUUGAUGCAGCGACGCCGCGUGGAGGGUGUAGGCCUUCGGGUUGUGAACUCCUUUUUCUCGCGAAAAAGGCACAGUUUUGGCUGUGUUGAUGGUAGUGGGGGAAGAAGCGCCGGCUAACUACGUG
rnacentral:rRNA from 1 species